rnacentral:rRNA from 1 species
AUUGAACGCUGGCGGCAUGCCUUACACAUGCAAGUCGAACGGCAGCACGGGUGCUUGCACCUGGUGGCGAGUGGCGAACGGGUGAGUAAUACAUCGGAACGUACCUUAUCGUGGGGGAUAACGCCGCGAAAGCUGUUCUAAUACCGCAUACGACCUGAGGGGGAAAGCGGGGGAUCGAAAGACCCCGCUCGAUUAGAUCGGCCGAUGCCUGAUUAGCUUGUUGGUGGGGUAAAAGCCCACCAAGGCGACGAUCAGUAGCUGGUCUGAGAGGACGAUCAGCCACACUGGGACUGAGACACGGCCCAGACUCCUACGGGAGGCAGCAGUGGGGAAUUUUGGACAAUGGGGGCAACCCUGAUCCAGCAAUGCCGCGUGAGUGAAGAAGGCCUUCGGGUUGUAAAGCUCUUUUGUCAGGGAAGAAACACCGGCUCUAACACAGUCCGGGAAUGACGGUACCUAAAGAAUAAGCACCGGUUAACUACGUGCCAGCCGCCGCGGUAA